GGAAGGUCCGGGCGUNAUCCGGAUNNAUUAGGUNUAAAGGGAGCGUAGAUGGAUGNNUAAGNCAGUNGUGAAAGNNUGCGGCUCAACCGUAAAAUNGCAGUCGAUACUGGAUAUCUUGAGUGCAGUUGAGGCAGGCGGAAUUCGUGGUGUAGCGGUGAAAUGCUUAGAUAUCACGAAGAACUCCGAUUGCGAAGGCAGCCUGCUAAGCUGCAACUGACAUUGAGGCUCGAAAGUGUGGGUAUCAAACAGGAUUAGAUACCCUGGUAGUCCACACGGUAAACGAUGAAUACUCGCUGUUGGUCUGAAUAGGUCAGCGGCCAAGCGAAAGCAUUAAGCAUCCCACCUGGGGAGU
rnacentral:rRNA from 1 species